rnacentral:rRNA from 1 species
AGUGAACGCUGGCGGUAGGCCUAACACAUGCAAGUCGAACGGCAGCACAGUAAGAGCUUGCUCUUACGGGUGGCGAGUGGCGGACGGGUGAGGAAUACAUCGGAAUCUACUUUUUCGUGGGGGAUAACGUAGGGAAACUUACGCUAAUACCGAAUACGCCCUACGGGUGAAAGCAGGGGAUCUUCGGCCCUUGCGCGAUUGAAUGAGCCGAUGUCGGAUUAGCUAGUUGGCGGGGUAAAGGCCCACCAAGGCGACGAUCCGUAGCUGGUCUGAGAGGAUGAUCAGCCACACUGGAACUGAGACACGGUCCAGACUCCUACGGGAGGCAGCAGUGGGGAAUAUUGGACAAUGGGCGCAAGCCUGAUCCAGCCAUACCGCGUGGGUGAAGAAGGCCUUCGGGUUGUAAAGCCCUUUUGUUGGGAAAGAAAAGCAGCAGGUUAAUACCCCGCUGUUCUGACGGUACCCAAAGAAUAAGCACCGGCUAACUUCGUG